ACAUGCAAGUCGAGCGGUAAGGCCCUUCGGGGUACACGAGCGGCGAACGGGUGAGUAACACGUGGGUGAUCUGCCCUGCACUUCGGGAUAAGCCUGGGAAACUGGGUCUAAUACCGGAUAUGACCUUCGGCUGCAUGGCUGAGGGUGGAAAGGUUUACUGGUGCAGGAUGGGCCCGCGGCCUAUCAGCUUGUUGGUGGGGUAAUGGCCUACCAAGGCGACGACGGGUAGCCGACCUGAGAGGGUGACCGGCCACACUGGGACUGAGACACGGCCCAGACUCCUACGGGAGGCAGCAGUGGGGAAUAUUGCACAAUGGGCGAAAGCCUGAUGCAGCGACGCCGCGUGAGGGAUGACGGCCUUCGGGUUGUAAACCUCUUUCAGCAGGGACGAAGCGAAAGUGACGGUACCUGCAGAAGAAGCACCGGCCAACUACGUGCCAGCAGCCGCGGUAAUACGUAGGGUGCAAGCGUUGUCCGGAAUUACUGGGCGUAAAGAGCUCGUAGGCGGUUUGUCGCGUCGUCUGUGAAAACUCGAGGCUCAACCUCGAGCUUGCAGGCGAUACGGGCAGACUUGAGUACUGCAGGGGAGACUGGAAUUCCUGGUGUAGCGGUGAAAUGCGCAGAUAUCAGGAGGAACACCGGUGGCGAAG
rnacentral:rRNA from 1 species